UUAGCGACCCCUCUACUGGACUCCCUCAAUGCAGACGCCCUCCAGUCCAAUCCGCCCACCACAAGCUCUGACUUCUCCUCUCCUCGUUCCUUUCCCCUUUUGCUAAAGACUCCUCCUCCUCCUCUAGAUCUCUUCUUGUUUCUCUUACCAAACAGGAAAGGAAAAGCAGCACCACAAGGGAGACCUGUUGAGGUUGGAUGAUGUUCAAUUCGAUCGCCAUGGAAUGAAGUAGUCUUGCUGUUUGCUCUUGCUUGCUGGCUGGCUGGCGGUAUUAUGGUUUAGUUUAGCUCAACUUGUGAAAAAUGGCAACUUGCCUUCCAUACUGUUUGAUUGUAGUUGGCUUCGGCAACUAAAACACUCUAGCUCUCUUUUGUGAAGAGUAGCGAACGACAACUCGAUCAUGAUCGGCGGAACAAUUUCUAUAGGGUGGUAAUACAAUUUGAGUGCACAUACUAUCUAAUUAAGGUGUGAUGAACACCAUCAUGCUUGAGCAAACUCUAGAGGAGAAGAUUAAUGGUGUGUUUGUUUGCUAGUUGUACGAUAGUUGUUGAUUUGCUACUCUCUCUCAAACAAGGUGGAAGUGGGUUUCGAUUAAUCCAUUCGCUUGUGAGCAUGAAAACUAAGUCUUUUAAAACACACAAUGAUGAAUACGAGAACGGAAGUAUGUAACAUGAAAUAAUACUGGAAAUGAAGAAUAGAUACCACAGAUCAAAGCCGAGAGGUAAUGCAUUAGUACCCACCUUAUGUAGCCACCAUUGGCACAACUCUUGGUUCCUUCAACUUAGUCAAGCUCUCUAUCAUAUUCGAGAAUCAAACCAUCUUUCAAUAAGCAUUGCCGCAUUUGGUUGUUGAUCUUGAAUCAUUGCUUCUCACCUAAUAAUCAGAUAGUUAAAACCUGCAUGAAUGACACCAAAUAGCCCAACUUUCUGUGCUUCUCCCAAAAGUGAAACAAAUCGAGGGCAUCCUUUGCCUAGCCAUGCCACAGCUAAAAAAAACUGGUGGAGUGUUGUUUCAUUAAUGUUACUUCCUGUCUCCUUAGAACCCUUUCCCAGAAAAGAAUAUCCUUUAUGUUUAGUUUUUUGUGCAAGUACAAACUUAUAACAUUUUUUACACAAAGGUCAAGAUAUAGAGUGCCAUGUGGGUAACACAGAAGAAUCCAAUAUGCCAUGAAAAGUGAUGUCUAGCACUGCAAGCCAAAUAACAAUUAAAGCACUCAAAUAAAUAGUCCUGGUGAAGAAUAAACUAAGAGUGGGGCUAUCAAAGAUAAGUUCACUAAUGCUGACUGAUUUCUGUAGUGGCGGAAAAGAUAUGGAAAUCAACUACUCAUACAACAUUCUUAAUUCCAUAAUCUGUGUCGGAACAGCUCGCCAGGAGAGACCUAUAAGAUGCACUAAAUAUGUAGAAGUCUUGAGUCUCUCAUAUGCAAUGUUGUUAUGGGAAAUUCCAUUGUUGAUCUAGUUUGUCGUUUGCAAUGUUAUGUAUUAAGGACGAUAAAUGUUCAAUUUAGGGACAUCUAGAUUGUUGAUAGAGAUAUGAACAAAUGCAAUGAUAAACCUUGAGAAGUCCUAAAAUGGUUUAAGAGUCUUGAAGAUGUCUUGUUUAUUGUUCAAGGUUGUGUGAUUGACCAAUUGUUAUUAGUCAGUUAAGCAUAGGUGAAACGGAAUUCAAACUUUAGGUUUGUUCCACUAUUGGAAAACCAAUUAUUGUUCACAGUCAAAUGACUAGAAAAAGCACAUUGGGUUUCAGUUCUCAUUUUUAAAGGAUCUAAGCAACUAAAAUCUACUAGAUGACUAUGCAAACUUUAUGUUCAGGCGGUUGUUUGAUGAACUAGUCAAUCAAUGACUUGCUAGUCUACUAAAUCUUUCCAUUAUAUUCAAAUUUAGCAUCUGAAGGUCAGUAGAGUAGAGUAUAAUUAACUAAACAUGUCUAGACUACUAAAAUUUAAAUUUUGGUUUUCAAUAAUGUAUGAUUCUGCUCGAUGCUAGGCAACUAGUGUGGACUACUUGAAUAGUUCCAGGAAAUUAUGUAUCUGGUGAGACUAAAUUUUUAACUAUUUUGGGACAAACUUUUAUAUGUUUCUUUCAGGGAUUCCCUCCAAUGGAAAGCACACAGUUCCAUUCAAAAAUUAACCACGUGGAAAAGCUCUAGACAUUCUCAAAAGAAACAGACUUUGCAUAGAUAAGAUUCAGGGUCGCUGAAGAUACAAUGAGGGACAUGAAACAUGUAGAAUUUGUUGAACCAUACAGUGACAGUGGCCUCGAUAAAGAAACAGGUGCAGGUGCAAAUGCUGCUUCAGGGGUGGAAAUGACACUGAUCGCCUCUACUCCACUCUCGGAGCUCAUUUGGACUCCAGAAGAAGGUUUAAGUCUCAAGUACACUGACUACAGCAAAGCUGAAAAUAAAGUCCCUUUCUUGUGGAAAGAAGAACCAUUCAACACGAUAAUUUCUACGUCAUAUUGUAAUAAUGGAGGAGAGUUCAGCACCAGUGAAGAUAGCACUAAGCAUUCAACUCAUGAUUCCCCUAAAAAUGCUGAUGCGGUUACUAUCGUAGAUUCUCAUACAAGACCGAGUCAUUUGCCGCUUCCCUCAAGCAGAAGAAUGCCUCAACAAAAUUCUAGAUCUUUUGGAGAUCUAAAGUUAGUAAAAGAAAUAAAUGAAGCGCAUUUUGAUUUAAACCAGACAGUUAGGAAUGAUGUUGGCACCACUUCUGCAAAAGAUGCAAUCAAUAAUAUUGUCGACAAGAUUACCUACCCAGUUAUGGAAUCUGAUUUUGCGACAACUGCUGGAAUUUUGAAUGAGCCUGAAGCAGGAAUCGAUGUUUCAAGAAAAAAUGCGAAAUGUAGCUUUGUUGGAGUAUCAGGAUCUCAUCAUCUAGUGUCAGCAAAAAAUGGAAAGUCUAUUUCAAAUGUCAGAUCCACAGAUCAGAAAUAUACUGAUUCAGCUAUAGGGGAUCACAAAUACGACAAUUUUAAUAAGCUCGAUAAUUUGUCUUGCUUACUAGUUCACGGUGGACAAAAUUUAUGUGGUUCGAAGUCCAAAGUUAGUUGUCAAAACAAUGUAGCAUCAGUUGCUCACCACUGUUGUAAAUGCAAAACUCUACAUGCUAACACCGAGUAUGAGACCGCUGAAUUUAUUCAUAGAAAAUUGGAAAAGGGUAAGGAAAAGGUACUACAUGAUGAAGAUUAUGAUAGCCACUCAAAAGAGAAAGAGAGUGACACUGAGAGUGCUGAAAGCUGUAAUAGUAAGAGAAUGACUUCCAAAAGAAAUCAUUCUUAUACUUUUGAUAUGAAGAUAUCUGAAGGGUUUAAACGGAUGAAGAGGGAUAACAAUGAAGGAUUUAAGCGGAUGAAUAGGGAGAACAACGAGGAUCCCUGCUCAGGAUCUCUUAUUAAAAAACCCAGCUCCUUUAUUAAUUGGAUGUCAACAAUAGCAAGUAAUUUUUCAAGAAAGACUUCUUUGUCUCUUCUUCCACAAUGCUAUAAUAGUAUGAAUGAAAAUUUUGGUGCUCUUCGAGUAUUGCAUGAGAAAAGUGAUCAGGAAGUCCUGAGCAGAACUGUGGGUUUUAACUCUUUCUUUCAGGCACUUUAUUCUCCAAAUUUCAUGUUAACUAAUACCAUAGCUGAUGGUGAUUAUCAAAGAAAAGUUAGUAUGUCAGGAGCUAGAAAAGUGAUGAGGGAUCAGAAUAAGGAAUCUCGUAAUGGUGCAAUGGGUAACUUUUCGCAGUUCAAGGUAAACAAGCCAACUCUUCAAAGAAACAUAAGCAGAACAUUCCAUGCAGGAGCUGACCAACAAUAUCGUUUGAAAGAUUUGAAUGCAUCUGUGAAUAUUGUAUGUGGUGGUAAUGCUAGCAAAUCACACAACCAAGAUUCUUCAGCUGAGAAGAACAGUUAUCCCGUUGAAGAUUUCCCUGCGAUAAUGAUCAACUUAUCUGCCUCCAGCACUAAAAUGUGUGAGCAGUUAAAGCAAAGCACAGAGAAUGGAUUUCAUUUGAAAGAAAGAAACAACUUGAUUUCCUCAGAUAAGAGAGUUUGCAUAGGUGCCAAAGAGAAUGAAAAUGUUGGGCCUAGUUCUGAUCGAAGGUUCCCUAUGAAUUUGAUAUAUAAUGACAAGAAUAGUUUUUCCGACAAUUUAUGGAUCACUCAUUUUUUGCAGAAGGCUUCCUCGCCUGCUUUGAACUCAGUUACGUGCAAUUUGAGCUUAAAUGAUAAUGUAAACACUAGCAGGAAAUCUUUCAACGAUGUCGGAAAGAAUUAUAUGCAGUCUCUAGGUACACAUGAACAACACCUUAACAGUUGUAAAUCAGCUGUGGAAGGCUUUAGGAUGGAUAAUAAAAGUCUUAUUUCUAAAAGCCAUUUUCCUGAGAGAAUUGUGCCCCCCACUGUGGAAGUUUAUGAAGACCGGCUAGCCGAGAGUCUAAUGAAAAUUAAACAAAAAACUUCAAGACAUUUAGAUAAUGAAGAAAAGGGUAGUCAGAUCAUACCACUCUGUAACAGUAUUGUUCCUCUUCCUGAUGUCACUAAGGAACAACUUGGAAUAUUCAAAGCAAUAAGGGGACUUCAUUUGUCUCGCACAAUUUUGAUAAGGUAAAAUCAGUGAGACUUUAUAAUUUUGUGGAAUUUAUUUUGAAAUUCCUUAUAAUAGUUUCGCUGAAAGAGUUUGCUUAAAGAAGUGAAAAUUAAGCAUUCCAACAACAAAAGAUUGGAGUAUCUGCAUAUUUUCUUUGAUUAAAAUCUACAUGGAUAUGUAUAUUGCUCACUUAACUUCUUUACUAAUCUAAAUAAAACAGUAUCUGCUCUUAUGAAUGGUCUUCUCCCUACAUUGGCAGAUACAGUAACACGAGGAGAACAUAUAAAAGGGGACAACACAAUUUCUUGAACAAUCUUGAGAAAUAAGUCUCUCAAAUGGGGACUUUUUCUACACAAUAAGUAAUCAAGAGAAGGAGAAAGGGAUGGAGAAGAAGGAGAUAUGCACUUGCAGUUGUAGACUGUAGGGAGAAGUUAAAUUUUCUCUAAAGAGAUUACAAUCUGAACUUAUAGAUUGAUGCGAAAAAGGAAUAUAAUUUGAGAAUAUUUUAAUUUUGAUAUGAGCUUUUGGUAAUAAUUUGGGUUGUUUGGUGAUAAUCAAAGUGCGGUAAUUAGUAUACUUUGGGUUGUCAUUUUCAAUUUGGCUAGUCAAUUAAUGGGGAUAAUUAUAUUUUUUGUUUUGUUUAUUUGUUUUCCAAUUUUCAUUAGGAUUGAAUCUAUUAAAGUUUUUUUUUUUAGCUAGCACCAGGUAUUUAUUAAAGUUGUUUCCAUUAUGUGAGGCUUUGCUCUGAUUUUGGUAUCACAUCAAUUUGAUAUCAAAGUUGAAUUCUAGUUCAAUCUCGAUCUCCAAUACUAGUCACCCUCCUUGAGUUCCCACUUGGUUCUUGUUCAUUAGCAUCUCUGCAAUCUCCCCAAUACCAAUUGUAAGAAUUAGUUUGUGGUUUUAACUUUUAAGAUUUAGAAAUCGUCAAAGUCAUUAUUGUAGACUGGAUAAACUUUAACAAUGUAAGAUUUUUCUUUAGUUUAAUAAACAUUUCCUCACUUUGUAAGUUCUAAUUCUCAGUGAUAGUUUUGUUCAAUUUUGGUAGAUUGAACCUUACAUGCCAUAGAUUAAUGAUGAUCUUGAUUAAACUUAGAUUAUGGUUUAAGACAGGUGCAUUAAGUCUUGAUUAUGCGUGAUUGCCAAACCUAAGAUAAACUAUAAUCGCAAUUUGUUUAAUGAAUUAUCUCUAGUCACUUGUGUCAUCUACUAGAUGACCAAUACGUAAGUUGCAGUUGAAUCUAUUAGGAUGAGGUGUGUUGUGGGAGAACCAAAAAAAUUAUUAGUAAAUAUAAUAAAAAUAGUAUUAUUUAAUUUUAAUAUUAUUAAUAAUAUAGACUUAGAGUUGAAUGGACAAAUAAGAAUCAUGUAACCAUUCGCGGGGCUAACAUGCCUUGAUGAUGAUGACGAUGAUCAGUUGUCCUAGCUUUCAGGAGUACUGAAACUAAACCUAUGUAUGAGUUUACAACCCUACUCUUCUCCAUUUCUAACUAGGAAUCAUCUUUUGGUUGGAUGGAUUUAUAAGUGUAUUAGUGUGACAUGGAGUCGGUUAUGGUCCAAGCAUGAUAGCCUUUUAUGUCGGUCAACAAGUUGAAUUGUGAUCUGUAUAACUAUGAUGUCAAAUUAAUUUAAAGGGCAACAUCAAAUGCCUGUUCCUGUACAAAACAGUGAGGAUCUAUAUUAUAGAUCACCAUUACUGCCUUCUUAAAGGAGGAGGCCUUCUUGUUCUGUUGGUCAGCUCUUGAUGGUCGAUAUAUUGAGGAAAGAUUACUCUGUGAAGGACCGAUGCUUCUUCAGGUAAUUAAGCUCCAUUCAUUGUGACAAGUAUCAAAGAUAUCUUCGCUACAAACAACCAUUGAAAUGGGAACUAAUUUUUGAUGGCAAGAACCAAGUUAUAGAAACUAUGCACAUAUUAUAGUUACGAUAUGAGGUCAUUUAAGAAUGCAUUUAUUUUCUUAGCGCAAGUAGGUUAAGUUGUUCUGUUUGAAUACAUUAUUUCAUAUGCAUCGACAUUGUCUAAUUGUUUUCUCUUUCUUCACAAUUUUUUAGAUGGAUGAAAUCAAGAAAACUCAGCAAUAGCCUUGAAGGUUUUUUCUUGCGUCUGAGGCUUGGGAAAUGGGAGAAAGGACCAGGAGGAACUGGCUACAAGGUGGCUCGCAUAAUUAGUGCCAAGCAUGAAAACUGCCUUUCAGUAAGAAUUGGGAAUCUCAAAUGCUCACUAGAGUGCUGCUUUGUGUCUAAUCAUGAUUUUCUUGAGGAGGAGUUGAAGACUUGGUGGCUCUCUUCCACCUUAGAAGCUGAUAUCGAAUUACCCUGCAUGGAAGAACUAAGUCGAAAACUAAAAGAAAGGGAGGAGCUCGGGUUGUAGGUAGAUAGUUGUACUUGAUCAAUGUGCUGCUACUUACCGGAUUCCGAUGAGCUUAUCCGGAAUACUAUAUUCAAUUGUAUACAAGUAUAACAUGGACCGAUUGAAGGAAUGUGUUCUUGAGACAGA